rnacentral:tRNA from 1 species
AUUUUGAAGUUGGCUCGCUUUCGUAAUGCGAAGGUCGUAGGUUCGACUCCUAUUAUCGGCACCA